CCUACGGGAGGCAGCAGUGAGGAAUAUUGGUCAAUGGACGAGAGUCUGAACCAGCCAAGUAGCGUGAAGGAUGACUGCCCUAUGGGUUGUAAACUUCUUUUAUAUGGGAAUAAAACGUUCCACGUGUGGGAUUUUGUAUGUACCAUAUGAAUAAGGAUCGGCUAACUCCGUUCCAGCAGCCGCGGUAAUACGGAGGAUCCGAGCGUUAUCCGGAUUUAUUGGGUUUAAAGGGAGCGUAGGUGGAUUGUUAAGUCAGUUGUGAAAGUUUGCGGCUCAACCGUAAAAUUGCAGUUGAAACUGGCAGUCUUGAGUACAGUAGAGGUGUGCGGAAUUCGUGGUGUAGCGGUGAAAUGCUUAGAUAUCACGAAGAACUCCGAUUGCGAAGGCAGUUCACUGGACUGCAACUGACACUGAGGCUCGAAAGUGUGGGUAUCAAACAGGAUUAGAUACCCCAGUAGUC
rnacentral:rRNA from 1 species